rnacentral:rRNA from 1 species
UACGAAGGGGGCUAGCGUUGCUCGGAAUCACUGGGCGUAAAGGGUGCGUAGGCGGGUUUUUAAGUCAGAGGUGAAAUCCUGGAGCUCAACUCCAGAACUGCCUUUGAUACUGAGAAUCUUGAGUAUGGGAGAGGUGAGUGGAACUGCGAGUGUAGAGGUGAAAUUCGUAGAUAUUCGCAAGAACACCAGUGGCGAAGGCGGCUCACUGGCCCGAUACUGACGCUGAGGUGCGAAAGCGUGGGGAGCA